rnacentral:sRNA from 1 species
ACGAGGUGCCUUUCAGGCAUCCUCUCCUAAAAACUUUCAUGGGCCGGCCUUCGGGUCGGCCCUUUUUUUAUGCCGUU